CCUACGGGAUGCAGCAGUGGGGAAUAUUGCACAAUGGGCGCAAGCCUGAUGCAGCCAUGCCGCGUGUAUGAAGAAGGCCUUCGGGUUGUAAAGUACUUUCAGCGGGGAGGAAGGGAGUAAGGUUAAUAACCUUACUCAUUGACGUUACCCGCAGAAGAAGCACCGGCUAACUCCGUGCCAGCAGCCGCGGUAAUACGGAGGGUGCAAGCGUUAAUCGGAAUUACUGGGCGUAAAGCGCACGCAGGCGGUCUGUCAAGUCGGAUGUGAAAUCCCCGGGCUCGACCUGGGAACUGCAUUCGAAACUGGCAGGCUAGAGUCUUGUAGAGGGGGGUAGAAUUCCAGGUGUAGCGGUGAAAUGCGUAGAGAUCUGGAGGAGUACCGGUGGCGAAGGCGGCCCCCUGGACAAAGACUGACGCUCAGGUGCGAAAGCGUGGGGAGCACACAGGAUUAGAUACCCCAGUAGUC
rnacentral:rRNA from 1 species